UAGCGGAGGGUGCAAACGUUGCUCGGAAUCAUUGGGCGUAAAGCGCACGUAGGCGGCUCGUUAAGUCGGAUGUGAAAGCCCUGGGCUCAACCCAGGAAGUGCAUACGAAACUGGCGAGCUUGAGUAUGGAAGAGGGUCGCGGAAUUCCCGGUGUAGAGGUGAAAUUCGUAGAUAUCGGGAGGAACACCAGUGGCGAAGGCGGCGACCUGGGCCAAUACUGACGCUGAGGUGCGAAAGCGUGGGGAGCAAACAGG
rnacentral:rRNA from 1 species